rnacentral:rRNA from 1 species
GACGAACGCUGGCGGCGUGCCUAAUACAUGCAAGUAGAACGCUGAAGGAGGAGCUUGCUUCUCUGGAUGAGUUGCGAACGGGUGAGUAACGCGUAGGUAACCUGCCUGGUAGCGGGGGAUAACUAUUGGAAACGAUAGCUAAUACCGCAUAAGAGUAGAUGUUGCAUGACAUUUGCUUAAAAGGUGCAAUUGCAUCACUACCAGAUGGACCUGCGUUGUAUUAGCUAGUUGGUGGGGUAACGGCCCACCAAGGCGACGAUACAUAGCCGACCUGAGAGGGUGAUCGGCCACACUGGGACUGAGACACGGCCCAGACUCCUACGGGAGGCAGCAGUAGGGAAUCUUCGGCAAUGGACGGAAGUCUGACCGAGCAACGCCGCGUGAGUGAAGAAGGUUUUCGGAUCGUAAAGCUCUGUUGUAAGAGAAGAACGAGUGUGAGAGUGGAAAGUUCACACUGUGACGGUAUCUUACCAGAAAGGGACGGCUAACUACGUG